GUGGAAUGGUGGUUCUCAGACUGAGAGUGGGGCGAAUUCUCUACCACGGAGCCACCAGGGAAGUCAGAGUUUGGUAUUCGUAUGGAAUGAGCCACCGCCUCCUUGCAGGGCCCUGCAGCUUGCAUGGGCUUCCUCCCAACAUGGAGGCUGUAUCAGAGAACGGGAAUCCUGAGAGAAAGAGCACGUGCACGCUGUAUCAACUUGCACAACUCUGCUUCCAAAGGCACUCAAGUCACUUCUGCUACUCUCUACUUUUUCCCAAGUGGGUCAUUCAGGCUAAAGGGGAGUGGGGUGGUAUUCAGCUUUGUCUUCUCGGGGAGGAGUGUUAAAGGAUUGGUGGACAUUGUCAAGUCACCCCAAGUGUCCUGAGAUAUGAGAAGUGAUUUCAUGACUUCAGACCUGUUUUUCUUCCCCUGUGUGGCCUGCAACUCCCUGCCCUGCCCCAGGUUCCCAGGGAAAGCAAACUACAAACCAGUCAAGCAGAUGGAACAGCCAGCAGCCAAAAGGGAAGUGCCUGAUGCCACCUGGAGUGCUGCCUCUCUUCCCUCUGCUGGGGGAACUCUGGCCAGGGAGGGGCUCUAAGGGCCUCCCGAUGUGCUCAGAGGUCAGUAGUCCAGGGCAGAGUCCACAGGAAGCAUUCAUUCAUUCAUCCACAAAUCUUUCUUGAGCAGUUUCCAAGCUCCGUUCUCAGCACAGAGGGUGUUAAACAGAUUAACCGACCCUCUCCCCUGUGCUGCUCAGCCCAGGGGACCAGUCUCAGGGGAGCUGGGAGAAUGCCCUAUACGUGAGGCCCAGAAGACCACCUUGGGCGCUGAAGAGAGGAACCUGCCUCUCACUGGAGCCACCUCCCCUGCACAAGGGGCUCUGAGUGAGCUGGGACACCCCAGGACCGCUAACCCAACUUCUCGGUUGACUUUGCUCUUGAUUGCUGCCCACACCCACCGGCUGUGAGCUCCUGGGAGAGGCUGGGAGACGCUGCCGGUGCCCGUGAGUCACGAGUGUAAAGUACGCCCAGGGCCUUGGCAGGCAGGUCUGUGCAAGGGUAAGGUGUCAUUAGGUGAACGCUGACAAAUGCUGCCUUCUCGAACUCUGGAGAUAAAAGAUAGGCUCCCCGUGCAGUCUUUUUAUCUCUCCCACUGUGCUGGGGUGGGAGCUGCAGGUCCCCGGGCAGCGGGGCAGCAAGGCAGCGAGGUAGGGGUGCGAGCAGGAGUGCGCGCGUGUGCGUGUGUGCAUGUGCGUGUGUGCGCGCGCGUGGCCUUCCG
ensembl:lncRNA